GACGAACGCUGGCGGCGUGCUUAACACAUGCAAGUCGAACGGAAAGGCCCUGCUUUUGUGGGGUGCUCGAGUGGCGAACGGGUGAGUAACACGUGAGUAACCUGCCCUUGACUUUGGGAUAACUUCAGGAAACUGGGGCUAAUACCGGAUAUGAGCUCCUGCUGCAUGGUGGGGGUUGGAAAGUUUCGGCGGUUGGGGAUGGACUCGCGGCUUAUCAGCUUGUUGGUGGGGUAGUGGCUUACCAAGGCUUUGACGGGUAGCCGGCCUGAGAGGGUGACCGGCCACAUUGGGACUGAGAUACGGCCCAGACUCCUACGGGAGGCAGCAGUGGGGAAUAUUGCACAAUGGGCGGAAGCCUGAUGCAGCAACGCCGCGUGCGGGAUGACGGCCGUCGGGUUGUAAACCGCUUUCGCCUGUGACGAAGCGUGAGUGACGGUAAUGGGUAAAGAAGCACCGGCUAACUACGUG
rnacentral:rRNA from 1 species